UGCUUCAAGAUUGUCUGAUUUUAGAGGAGGUAAAGAUGUGGUUAAAACAGACAUAAAAUCUAGAAAUUCUUCCACAAAGCCAAGUCAAAGAGGCUCAUUUGAAGCUCAGAAACACAACAGCUGGACUACAGUGAGGCCUAAAAUCAAUCAGUCUUCCAAACAGCGAGGGUCCACAUCUGCUGAAACUCAAAACCUGAGGGGGAGGAGGAGAGGUGAUUCAGCAGGUGAUGGCAGCAGACUUUACUAAAGAGUGAAACCCAGAGAAGGAGGAAAAAGAGAGGAGAGGAAGGAACAGAGUCAAAGGGGAGGGGGUGUUGCAGAAGCAAAGCAGGAAAAGAAAGAAGAGAGUGAGAGAAAGGGAAGAACAGGUGAGGCGGGGAGAGAAUAGAAAGGAGGGGAAAGAAAAGGGGGGCAAGGAAAAAGACAGGAGCAAAAUGUGAAGGAAAGGAUUAAAAGUAGUGCAAGGAAAUUCAAAGAAAGUAGAGAAAAGUGAAAAAGUGAGAGUUAAGGAACUUGGGAAGGAAAAUAAGAGAAAUAGAGAAGAAAAUGACAAAUGAGAUGAAUGAGGCGCCAUGAGGAAAAAAAAGUGAAUAAACAGGAAGAGGAGUAGUUCAAGGGUGAACCACUGACUUGAAGGUGGACAUCAUGACAGCUCCAAAACAAGCUCCCUUACUGAAUGGCUGCAGUAACGGUGAUAAAGCCUCCCACCUCCAUGUAAACAGAUGUAACAUGGACUAAACUGUGACAUCGUCUCUGCCACUAUAAUAGAUUUUUAUCAUGUUGAAAUGGGCAAAUAUUGUUUCUUUUCUGAGAUAUUCAAUUUCUAGUGAGUUAUUUUACGACAUCAAAAGGGAUAUACAGGACCAUCAUUGACAGCUCCAAAAACAGAUGAAACGCUUAAGGUGCUUUUCCACUGCAGGUUAUUUAAGUUGAGAGGGAAUGACAAACGAAAAAAUCAUAAACACUCAAGAAUCAUUGAAUUUUCUACGAACUCUACCAAUGUUCAAGAGAAACAGAUAAAAAGUAAAGAAACAAGAUAUAUGUGGAAACAGAAGAGGGUUAGACAAAACAAAAGGAGAGGAAAGUAAAGCAGGAGAGAGAUUAAGGUAGUAAAAAUGAUGAAAAUUUAGGAGACAUGAAUGUGGCAGGAAAGUGAGGACACUGAAGUAGUAAAAUUUGGGAGCAGUUACAGCAGGAGGAAAUGAGAUGUGAGAGGAGGUACAGCAGGAGACACAGUGAUCCUGUGAUAUGAAUUAUACUCCGCCUUAUUUUCAGAUACUGCUUUUCAUGAAACUGUAGACACACUCAGCCUCCUUCCCACCCAACCAGACGCUCCCUGGAGUGAACGGCAGUCACCACUACGUCAAAUCCAAUGACGUUUUAUAUAGCAGCAGGAAUGUGUGUGUAUGCAUAUACAUUAAGUGUGUGUGUGACCUAGCUGCAGAAAAGCAACUGCUCUGGGUAGAGGGACAUAUCUGCUUCAGUUUUUAACAGCUGGUCCCUGCAGUUGCCCUUUUCCACACAUGAAAGGGCAACAGUCACAGAGUGUGUACACACAUGUGUGUGUUUGUGGGACAUGAAAGACAAAAGCAGCAACAGGCAUCUCUAAGAGAUAUUCAGUACCUCGUAAAUCAGCUUGGUGCACGGACACAUGAGUGUGUGUUGAGAGUGAGAGUGUGGGAAAGUAUGAUUCAUACAGAUCUAUUUCUAAACUGCUGUGUUCGUAUAUAUAGAUAUAGAUAUAUAGAUAGAUAUAGAUAUAUAGAUAUUAAUUAAUUUGUGUUUGCUGUGAGUGAAAGCCAAAUCUAACAGUUGCAACAGGAUUAUUUCAGUUGUCUAUUUUUCUAUUUUGAUUAAUAUCUGAGGUAUUUAUGGUUAAACACUGUCACUCAUAAGCUGCUGUUUUCGUACAGUAAAUUUCAAAGGUGGUCAGAUUAUUAUCUUAUUCCAAAUUCUCAGUUAUUGCAAAAUAUGUACGGUUAAUAUUCCUUUAAUAUUUAGAUGCUGAUCACAAGUUUACAAGACAUGUAUGACAUGUAUGCUGUGUCUGCAUCCACAAUGUCUUUGAAAUGAAACGUUGUGCCAAAUAUGCAGCAUACCUCUGCCUGACCUACAUGUACCUUAAAGCUCCUAGGAUCAGUUUUUCCCUGGUAAUGAAAAAAGCUGAAAUCCAUCAUGCAAUCCAAAGCACAUGGAGCCAUUAUCACAGAAAGAGUUUAUUAUUUAUUUAUUCAUAAUUUUUUUUAUUUAUUAUUUUUUAAUGCCUAAAACUGCAGCCAGAGAUUUCGCAUCACAGGAAGUGAGUUACAACAUUGUCACUUUGCGCUCUGGUUUUGGACCCAGAAGCACAGACAGACACUGUUGUGGAAAGUCCAACAUAAACAAUGCACAGGAGACAUGAUGAGAUCUGAAGAACAGCCUGGGCGUCUUUAAUUGUACAGAUGUAGAAAUCAGUACAGAUGACAAAUAGAGUCUCGACCAAGACCCAAGGAAGCCUCCCUAGCUUUACUUCUACUCUCUUUUAUGCUGUUAGGUGUGUGUGUGUGUGUGGGUGGGUGUGUGUGUAUGUGUAUGUGUAUUCUCCAGAAGGCCCCUCAUGAUGACAUGUCUGCCCCACGACACUUUGUUUAGGUUCGUCUUGACCCUGGCAGAGAUUACAUGUUCCAACAGACAGAUAGUUUGGGCUCCUGCAAGACAGCCUUGCUUACAAUCUCAUGGUCGUGGGGCAGCAGGAGCAGGCCAACCUAGAUUAGUUGUGGCUUCUUACUAAAAGAUAAUUACUCUAUAUUUCUUAACCUAAAUGUAUGAAGACAUUCUCCUACACAUCCCCCCUUUGAAAGUUCUUACUUUCACAAAAAACCUAAUCAUCAUAUCAAACACUAAACAUCCUUAUGUGAUUAAAGAAACAAAAAUCAGUACCAUACCAUACCAUAGCUGGGAUCAUUUCAAAUUAUAUCAGCGUGUAAGACUGAAAACCCUGCUCGGCUGUUUCAGCAGGGAAAGAAUCUUACGGCCCCGCGCCCUGGCGACCAUCCAUUUCCUGGAUGCGCUGACAUAAUUUCAUUUGCAUAGAAGAAAGUGUCCACAUUUGAUAAUAUCAUUACAUUACAUUACACAAACAUGUUGUUUGUGUUGCUCAAAGUCCAUUGCUCAUCUUCUUCUCCUUCAAAGUCCAGGAACCGUUCAGGUCCCUCAGUCCCUCCUUGAUAAAUCACACACUGUGCCAGCUGUUUUGGUGGCAUUUCCUGUAGUUCAUGGGCCAGUGUUAGGUCCACCAUAAGUCCCAUCUCCUCCGUCAGCCGCGAUAACAAUGUCUCCAAAGGAUGUGUACGAUGCGACAUGUGAGAAAGGAAAUCAGAAUUAGGGCUAUCGCAGCACUCAUGGCUGGGCCAAAACGGCUCUCAUUCAUCUAAAAUUUAGACCACCCAGUCCAUUAACAGGCCCCCCUUACCAGCAUUCUCCCACAUUUCCACUUUAAACUUUUCUUUACCCUUCACCACUUUCAGUCCAUCAACAGGCCCCCCUUACCAGCAUUCUCCCGCAUUUCCACUUUAAACUUUUCUUUAUACCCUUCAUAGCUUUAGAAAAACCUCCCCCAGGGCUCGUUUUGUUAGAAACGUAUCUGCAACAGUACUUCCAAAACCUUUUAAGACACAUCUUUUCUCUUCACAUCCUCUCUCAUUCUCACAUUACCACACACAAAAUACUUUUUAAUUUUAUUAUCUAUUUAACCUCAUUGUAAAUCUGUAAUAAUCUGUGAAUGUUGGCAUGGGUUCUAGCUCUGUCUGGAGUGGUGUGGAUUGUGUUUUGGGUUGCAUCGUACUCACCCGCGAUAACAAUGUCUCCCACUUCUUCUUCUCACAGCUGUACUGGCACCAGUUUGACCUUCACCCUCAUUGUUGUCUCCAGUCUCUCUCUCGGUCUCUCUCCACACAUUGUCCCUCAGCAGCAACACCAGGAAAACAGUUACUUUCAGGACGAGUGCUACAGUCAUUCUGGGAGUGUCUCUUAUCAAGUCAUACUUCCCUUGUUUUUUCCUGGGCAGUCAGUGGUAGAUGACGCCACAUCAUAUUGCCCUCUUCUUGCACUGAAGUAGAGUUCACCAGGACCAAAGUGUUCAGGUCUUCUCCUCGUUCCUUGUGCCACCCUCCUCAAAGGACGGUGAUGUACACCUGAUGCUCUGGCUCGACUGGCCUCCACCUCUUGACUGGGAUCAGAUUUUGGCACUCCUCCUGCUAAUCGAUAGAUCUUUGCAUCGUAGUUAGCUGCCUCAUAUAUUUAAUUCACUAAUUUUCAGCUGCUCAAGCGAAAAACGUAAUUAUUUAGCCGCAGUAAAGCAUAGCUUUGUAAGUUAGUCAAUCAUGCAGUGAAAGAUUUAUCUCAGUGCUUUUGAUUGUGAAAGCUCAUAAGCGCAAGUAGCAAAGCAUCUUCCUAUAGGUUAGUGUUAGUGCAAAUUCUCUGAUCAGAUAUUUACUUGAGAGAUUAACUUUCUUCCCCAAAAUAAUGUACCAAUUCAUGCAGUGAAAGAUUUAUUUUGACUCCAAGAUCUUUUGAUGGUGUUGCUUCCAUCCAUCGACUGAACCCGUCAUCAUUACAAACAUGUAACAUAUCCCUUGGCAGUUUUAACCAUGUCCACAUUGUCUAUGAAUAGAUUUCUAAAAGCAUCUCUCUGGAACUGGAAAGUGUCCCACUACUGUUUUAUUGUUCUCUUCAAUUUAUCUAACAAAACACAUAUCACAAUGACCCAAAAGUUUAUCAACUAUUGUCAGCAUAUUCUAAAAAUGUCGUUUUAAUUGUCUCAUCAUCUCCCCCCUUGCACAGUGUGAAUCACUGUGAAAGUCAGAUCCUAAGUUCGUUUGUUAAUACUACUGGUACAAAAACUAGUUAUUUGACUCUAAACCAUUUUCUGUGGCCUUACUGGCCUUUGAUAGCUUUCUAUUACUUUUACAUUAGAUGGCACACCUGUCAGGAGUGUAUGUGGAUUCAGCACAGCUGCAUUUAGAUUUAUCAGUAUUAAACUAACAGAACAGGAAUGUUACAAUGCUAAUGUCACGAUAUUUACUUAAAACUAUAAACCAUAACUGUCUACUUACACACCUUGCGGUGAGCACCAAAUUUGAAUGUUACUUCUACAUAGGGCUCUUUGGUCUAUAAGGUCAACAGGGUUAAAAUUAAAACCAAAAAUUAACUUUUUCCAUCAUCCACAAAAAUCACACUGUAGUAAGCCACCACUUUCACAUUGUCUGGGCUGGGGCUCCCCACCACAGCUCCAGCCAGAGACGUCCCUGGUCUGGGCAGUUGUCAAAAAUGUCUGGUAUGAUCACAUCUCCAGCAGGUCUAUAGACGUCACACAUCCGUCAGAAUUCCACUCUCUCCCCCUGCCGGGAUAUAUCCUCUCUAUGGAGCAGGGUUCUGUCUGAGGAUAAACAUUCACAACAGGUGAUUAAACAGGUUACUGUCACAGGUUUUACCGCAGUUAGCCUCUGCACGGUCUGCAUCGCUGGGUCUCUUUUGCAGUGUCUUCCUUAGAGGUGGCCACCAUCGUGGCCUGAGUCUGUACUCCACAUCACAUCACAAUAUGCAUUGAACUCACUCCCAUCUAUCAUGGGAUUCGUCAUCCAACCUUGUUUUGCCUUGCGCAGAGACUCCUCCAUCGUCUUAGUUCCCAGCAGUUGAGCCAAGAGUGCUUUCAUGUCUGGUGUAGUCAACAUUUUCUUACAGUUCAUCCUCAAAAACUCGUAUCCAUCUCCCUGCCCCCUGUUCAGUUUGUGGUAGUCUGGCAAUCAGCCCAACAAGGUGUGUGGUUUUCCACAGCACAAUUUCACGAAAACUGUCAAUUACCUUUUCAAAACAUAUGGGACAAAAUAGCAAUGAUUAUAAAUCAUUUGGAAAUUCAAAAGAGAUAAAUAAGAAAAAUAAAUAAAUAAAUAAUAAUAAUAAUAAUAAGUUUAAAGGCAACCUAAGAUAGAAAAGUUUUAGUUUUUAUUCUAUUCUUAUUUAUUAGUUCAAAAGAUCAUCGCAUGAGUAAGAAAAAACAAAUAAUAUAAAGUAUGAAAAUGACACAAAUCUUUGAACAUGUCCAGUACUUUUAGUUCCAUAUCUCUUGUUUUUGCGUGUUUUACUUUAUCUUUGUGUUUAUGGCCUUAGAUUCGCUGCUCCAAAUCCUCACACACAGCCAAAUCAGAUGUGCCUCCCCUAGGUCAUAAAAAUUCAAACCCCUUGACUCAUUGUUCCCAUUUCUUUGUAAGUUUUUGGAUAUUUUUAAGUGAUCAGGAUAUUUACACCCUACCAGUGCAAUUGGAGUUAAACUAAUCUUCCCUUUCUGAUCAUGGUUUUUGUAAAAUUUAUUAUUCAAAUGAGCACACACAUCAAAACUUGAUCCCCAGCAGUUUUGUAAAAUUCCCAAAAAAUACACAGUAUAAAGCCUUUGCCUUAACUGCAGUUCUAUAGCAAUAGUCAGUAUUGAUAUUAACAGCUUCAAUAAUAUUUAAAAAAACACAGUAUUUUGGCAAAAACAGCAGAUGUAUAGAAGCAACUCCUAGAUUUGAAGUUUUAGAAGUUUUGCACUUGUGGUACCUCAUUUCUUUUUCCCCUUUUUGUGUCUUUUAUACUUUUACAAAUAUUAUUUCAGCAGCUUUAACACAGAAAAUUGGUUACGGAGCAUAAGACGUGUUCACAACAAAAAAACCAUAAUAUUUGAGCAUAAGCUAAAACCUUCAUAUCAGGAGUGUUCAUCAUGGUACUAGGAACAGAACCUCUUUCCCAGGAGUAUUUAACCUUCUAUGUCUCAACUGAUAACAUGACCGCAAUGAGCACAGUAUUUACAUAAACAACUAUGAAAUAAACACAAGUGAGGAAAACACAGCAAUCUUUGACUAACAUAACACACACACAGAUGCAGAGUCUGGCUGUGAACACUGCCAGAGAACUUAGUUGACACAGAACAAAACAGACACACACAAACAUCCAAUCAACCCACACACUUCACUUUUUUAUCACACAAUGGUAUACCCUUUCACACGUGUUUGAAGUCAAAGUCAGUCACUGGAGUCAGUCAGCAGUCUUCUAUUUUAAUUCUUGUUUUGAUUUCUUCAAUUUUUCCAAUUUGUGUGAUUUUUUUUCAAUUUGUGUGAUUCUUCUACAAUUGGUCAGGAGAUAUGGGACGUGCUUGUUCAAUUGGGAUCCUUGAAUAGGUUUUUCAGCCUAUCCUUAUUGACCUCUUUUUCUAUCUCCUGCUCAUCAAGCCAAUCUGUAUCUGUAAUUUAAGUCCAAUUAUAACACUGAUUUUGUGAGGUCUUUGACAUAUAAAAGAUAUAUAUAUAUAUGUACAUUUCAAAUAUCUACUAUUCCGUCAUUAUACUUAUUCGGCCCUCUAGAGUUCUGGAUCAGAAUUUAGGAGGAUAUAUGCCACUUUCGUUCUCCUUUUGGCUUUUUCUUAAGCCUCAGCGGAACUUCGCAUGACAAAUCCACUUUCUAGUGGAGUUUUCCAGAAAGAAAAUCCACGUAUGUAUUACGAGAUGAAUCUGCUCGUCCAUCAGCUGCCACCUUUCAGAGCUCAUGAAAGAUGGUCUAAAAUUCACAGUUCAACAAUGGACAGACACACUCGUGUCUGCCCCUCCCCUUGUUAUCCCAAAAAUUACCCUGAACCUUUUUAUCUCCAGGCAUUCAGCCUAAAAAAAAAACACAUCACAACCCGGGCCCGGCUGUCUCCCCAAGCUACUGGCCAGUGCUUUUCUGCACCCAGCCUAUAGCUUCACAUAUGACAAUCUCACACCUAUAGCAGCAUGAGGCAAUCUCACACUCUGAAGAAGACGAAGUGCUUCUGCACCCAGCCGAUAGCUUCACGUGACAAUCUCACACUUAUAGCAGCGUGAGGCGGUCUCACCCUUUAGGAAGACGAAGUGCUUCUGCACCCAGCCUAUAGCUUCUCACACAUAGAACAGCCUAUGGCUUCUACAUAUGGCAUCUCACAUAUGCAGCAGCCUAUAGCUCUACAUGUGGCAUCCCUCAUAUGCAGCAGCCUAUAGCUCUACAUGUGGCAUCCCUCAUAUGCAGCAGCCUAUAGCUCUACAUGUGGCAUCCCUCAUAUGCAGCAGCCUAUAGCUCUACACGUGGCAUUCCUCAUAUGCAGCAGCCUAUUGCUCCUCAUAUGGCAUUCAUCACAUGCAGCAGCCUAUAGCUCCUCAUAUGGCAUUCAUCACAUGCAGCAGCCUACAGCUCCUCAUAUGGCAUUCAUCACAUGCAGUAGCCUACAGCUCCUCAAAUGGCAUUCAUCACAUGCAGCAGCCUACAGCUUCUCAUAUGGCAUUCAUCACAUGCAGCAGCCUAUAGCUCCACAUAUGGCAUUCAUCACAUGCAGCAGCCUAUAGCUUCUCAUAUGGCAUUCAUCACAUGCAGCAGCCUAUAGCUUCUCAUAUGGCAUCCCUCAUAUGUAGCAGCCUACAGCUCUACAUAUGGCAUCUCACACAUGCAACAGCGUGAGGCAAUUUCACACAGUCAACUGCAGUUUCUCUUAAAUCAGCUGAUAUAUAUUCAAUUUCAAUUGGCUUCCUCACAAAUUUAGCAGACUUUGAUCAGCUGACUGCAUGCAUGCAGUUUUCUCAGACUGUCUUCAUUCCCACUGUCUCCUCUUAUUUCUAUUCUAGGUUCUUUGAUUCGAAGAGGACAGAGAACAGUAGUCCGCACCACCUCACAAGGAGAAGAACUCUCAACCAAAUUUUAGGAAAUAUCCUACCUUUUUCUUUUUUUGUGCGCACAGAGUGUCCUUAUCCCAUGUGAAGUUCGCAGACCCAUGGUCCCUUGUCCCCCGAAACGAAUUCUGGCUAAAGCUCGCCAAUUAUGUUGUAGAAAGUCCAACAUAAACAAUGCACAGGAGACAUGAUGAGAUCUGAAGAACAGCCUGGGCGUCUUUAAUUGUACAGAUGUAGAAAUCAGUACAGAUGACAAAUAGAGUCUCGACCAAGACCCAAGGAAGCCUCCCUAGCUUUACUUCUACUCUCUUUUAUGCUGUUAGGUGUGUGUGUGUGUGUGGGUGGGUGUGUGUGUAUGUGUAUGUGUAUUCUCCAGAAGGCCCCUCAUGAUGACAUGUCUGCCCCACGACACUUUGUUUAGGUUCGUCUUGACCCUGGCAGAGAUUACAUGUUCCAACAGACAGAUAGUUUGGGCUCCUGCAAGACAGCCUUGCUUACAAUCUCAUGGUCGUGGGGCAGCAGGAGCAGGCCAACCUAGAUUAGUUGUGGCUUCUUACUAAAAGAUAAUUACUCUAUAUUUCUUAACCUAAAUGUAUGAAGACAUUCUCCUACAACACACGCUGCAUAAUUAUUGAGUACACCAAUUUUGAGCUUGUGUAGUCCAAAAAUACAAAAGUGUUGGCUGGCUUAUGCGGGGAAGCCGAUGAAGCUUUGUCCAGAGCAGUGGUCUCUGUGUCAGCUGAUUUUCUGCACAGGUCUGCAGUGAUUACAUUUAAGCUGAGUUUGCAGGCGAGUUCCUCUUCUGUUUGUUUGUUAUGCCGGGGGGAAUCCGAUGCAAAUCUGUCACUUUAAAAAGGUGGAUUUGCAACUUUUCAGUAGCUGUGGCCAAGUAGACGAGUAAGUCAUCUUAUAGUUUGUAGUUUAAUCCCCACUUCCUGCUGAACACACAUUGAAGUGUCCCAGACUUUCCCCAAUUUUCCCCAGACAGCAUAGUCUGUGGGAUGAGAAUUAAAAUGAAUGAUUAGGUUCUUCAAAACUGGACUUUAACGUUUGCCGCUGAGUUUGGUUGACUUUUCUUUAUCUAAUCCUUUCUCCUUCAAAAAUUGAUCCGACACUCUGCUUUGUAGUUGUCCUGUAAUUCUGUAGACAAACAGACUUAGAUUUGGAGUAAAACAGUCUUUUUAUCAGGAGAGGGGCUGCCUUGUGUUAAAAAAGGAGUAAUGCUGCUCAUCACUGAGUUAUGCUGCUGUAUCUGUGAAAAAACUAUAAUGAAAGGAGUUCUGGUUUCAAUGCAAAGGUUUGUGAAAUCUCACAUUACCACAAGGAAAGUUGGCUGUAUUGUCCAUGGUGUCUUGACCUCAUUCAGUUGAUGUUGUAUACAUUGAACAUACAAGCUCUAUUUCAGCGCUCAGAAGGUUGAAGUGUCAAAUUCUGACCUCACAGCGCAACUUUAUUAACACUGACACACCCACAUUUGGAAAAAGAAGCUUGAUUUUGCUUUAAGUAGUCUCACUACUGCACAGGCGCCAUCUCUGAUUGGUUUUCGGGCUACCUAUUAAUGAUCAGACAGGUCACUGUGACUCAUUCCUUGUUAUUCUUUUAUGCAGCUUUUCCAAAUAACAGUAAAGCGUGUGACAAAUUUACAUUUAGCAUGUUGUAACUCAGAGCAUUAACACCGACUUUUCAUUUCCUCCGCCUAACAAUCAGGCGCUGGGCUGACUUCUUCGGCAGCUCGCUUUACAGGCUGAUACAUUAUAUAGUGUGAACCAGGUCAGCGGUUAUAAUGGCAAAGCAGCAGCCAGGCAGUGAGGAGGAAAUGUCAGAGAGGAGUAUGAAACAGAUGAGCUUCAAUCUACACAGGCCCAUACAUGGAGAGGAGGGGUGUGGUAUGUGUGCUUGAAUAGUGUGUACACAAA